rnacentral:rRNA from 1 species
UACGUAGGGUGCAAGCGUUGUCCGGAAUUAUUGGGCGUAAAGAGCUCGUAGGCGGUCUGUCGCGUCGGCUGUGAAAACCCGGAGCUCAACUCCGGGCCUGCAGUCGAUACGGGCAGACUGGAGUUCGGCAGGGGAGACUGGAAUUCCUGGUGUAGCGGUGAAAUGCGCAGAUAUCAGGAGGAACACCGGUGGCGAAGGCGGGUCUCUGGGGCCG